rnacentral:tRNA from 1 species
GAGGGUAUAGCUCAAGUCAUAUAGCACAUGCUUAGCAAGCACAAGGUCCUGGGUUCAAUCCCCAGUACCCCCU